rnacentral:rRNA from 1 species
GACGAACGCUGGCGGCGCGCUUAACACAUGCAGGUCGAGCGAUGAAACUUUAACAGAACCCUUCGGGGCGAAGAUAAAGUGGAUUAGCGGCGGACGGGUGAGUAACACGUGAGUAACCUGCCUUAGACAUUGGGAUAGCCUCGGGAAACCGGGAUUAAUACCAAAUAAAAUCAUAAUGACACAUGUCAUAACGAUCAAAACUCCGGUGGUCUAAGAUGGACUCGCGUCCCAUUAGCUAGUUGGUAGAGUAAAAGCCUACCAAGGCGACGAUGGGUAGCCGGCCUGAGAGCGUGAACGGCCACAUUGGAACUGAGAAACGGUCCAAACUCCUACGGGAGGAAGCAGUGGGGAAUAUUGCACAAUGGAGGGAACUCUGAUGCAGCGACGCCGCGUGAACGAAGAAGGCUUUCGAGUCGUAAAGUUCUUUUAUAUGGGAAGAUAAUGACGGUACCAUAAGAAAAAGCCCCGGCUAACUACGUG